AAGAUUAAAUUGAUUGAAAACUACGUUACGUAAGGGAAUAAAUUUAAGAGAAGAUUUGAGUGGUCCAGGAUCGUUUGAAAUCAAUUGUUGUCUUGAAAAGAGGAAUGUAUGAAUUGGUGAAAGUGCUAAGAGUUAAGCUCAAGAGUUAUACAUCCAGGAAAGGCGUAAUGAGGUUCAGUAGAAAAGGAAAGUGGAGCAGAAGGAGUGUCUGUAGAUCCUGCUAAGGUUCAAGCUGUGAGUGAGUGACCUACUCCAAAGAACGUGUCUAAUGUUUGAAGUUUCCUAGGCCUAUUUGACUAUUAUAGGAGGUUUCCGAGAAAUUUUCGAAGAUAGCAAGACCAAUGACCAAUCUGAUGAAAAAGGAAUCAAUGCUUGAGUGAAGGGAGAAAUUUGUGAAAACUUUCCAGAUUGUAAAAGAGCAUUUGACCCCCGCACUCGUUGUCACGUCAGUUGAAACCUUACGAGGCUAAUUAACCUACUCAUGAACUAAAGCUAGCUGUUAUUGUGUUAUAUGCGAAUAUUCGGAGACAUUACCUUUAUAGGGCAACAUGUAAGAUCCUUACCGAGCACAAAAGUCUGAAAUUUUGGCAAUAAGGUCCAGUUGAAGCUUGGGGACAACAUUGAAAUGAGUAUUUCUUUCCACCCUGCAACCGAUAGACAGACUGAGAUUACUAUGAAAUAUAUGUUGAGAUUUUGUGUUAAUUGACUUUAAGGGUAAUUGGGAAGACCAACUAGAGUGAUUGAAUUCCUUGCACCAAUAGUUACCAUGCGAGCAUUACGAUGUCACAUGUUGAGGCAUUGUGAGGGAAAAGUGUAGAAGUCCAUUGCUAGAAUGAUUUGAGUGAAAAUAUUGUAUUGAGGACAUAAUUCAUUGAGAAAGAAAUACCCAAAGUUACUCCGUGAGAUGAGUUACGAGGGCGUAACUCGUUUUCUUUAAGAGGGGUAGAAUGCGAUAUAAAUUCGCGCUUUUUACCUAAUUUUAUGGUGUUUUCAUGCAUUUUUAUGCUUAUUUUAGCAAAUUAUACAUGUUGGUUCAAAGUAAAUAGAUUCUCCGCAUAAGAAAAACGUGUUCAUGAGUAACACAAGCAACUUUUAAGUUGGCAAAAUGUACAUGAGGGGCACAAGUACCUCUCCAGUAAGAAAGUUAAAAUCUUUUGGGAAAAUGUGGGAACUUUCGUGUCAAGUUUCGGGACGAAACUUCUUUUAAGAGGGGUAGAUUGUAAUCCCCCGUAAAUUUAUAAAUUUUAUUAAAUAUAUUUUAACAUAUAUUAUUUAUAUUUAAAUAGAAUUUAUGAAUUUUAGUAAUAAAUAUAUAAUUAACGUAUAUUUAUUUUAUUUAUUUUAUUUACGUUUUAAAUAUUUCAACGAAUUAGAAAAUUAAAAGUAAUUUUAGAAUUUUACGUUGAAAAGAAUUCGAAUUAUGAAAACGCGUCCGAUUGAAUUUGGAUAAACAAUCCUAACUAUUUUUGGAUUCAAACAACAUCAAUUCCAAUCCUAGCCCAAGUUUGCAAAGCCCAAUAAAGAAACCCAAACAAAAUUACCCAUACCUCUACUCUCCUUCAAUUCACGUAAAAGCAAAAACAAGAGAAGUCAAACCCUCCUUCCCUCCUAUUCUUUCACGUAAACCAGAAAACCCUCAAACCUUGGUACUCUCUGCCCCAGCCGCAGCCACCGUACACUCGCCGGACCGCCGCCGCGUUGUCGCACCGCCGAUCCCUCCGUCCGAACCGCCGCUGCCACCAGUGCUCGCCACCACGCAAGCCCAGCCGCGUUGCCAGUUCGCCGUCCUGUCUCACCGUCGCGCCUUGCCUCGCCAACUUCUUCUCCCUUUCUUCUUUCGCGGGUUACCACCGUAGGCGCACGCAACCACCACCCAGCAAGCCACCUGCGCCACCAGCCUUGUCGACCGAUCGUCGACCACCCACACCUGCUGCCGCACCGCCAUUGCCGCCGGCCAGCAGCCUUUCUCUCCUCCUUAAUUUUGGUGGAGAAUUCUCGUUAGGCGACUUUUGAAAGUGUUAAAGUGGCCUAUUAGUUUGUUUACACAAGUCUCUAAGGAUCAAUAAGCGUUGCCCAUCUACAGGUUUGAAGAUGAUGCAUCAUUGGGAUCGGGAUUAGAGAGCUUGUAGUUCUAUUUGUUUAAUUAAGUGAUUUAAUUUGUUAACUUGGAUUUGAAAUUUGUCGUACUAUUCGUAUUUCCUUAAUUCAGUUAAUUGGUUUGGACCUAAUAUGUAAUAGAUUAUUUAUGAACCUAAAAGUUAGUUUUAUGUUUUCCGCUGCAAAAUUCUGAAUAAGCCGUAACGUUUUCACACGGGCGAUAAUGCCU